GCUACGUUCCCUCCCUGCGCGUGAUUUGAAGGCUCAAACGCCCACGCGUGGGACGGUAACGACCGUGCAAACAGCUGAGGCUUCUUCCCAUGAAGUUCAGAACGUCCCUGGUGUCAGAGAGAAACCCGAGCUGACUGCAGACGUGUGAUUGCGUUCACAUGGAGCGCCUUGCUGUUUUUUUCCCAGGGCACAUUUGAUGUGGUCACUGGAGUCUUAAAUGUUUAUGGCUGUUUGCAAACACGCUUCUGCCCCCACACUCGGGAGGGAACGGCUAAGUGGAAGCUGAGCACGUGUCCCCCAGCUUCGUGUGACACAGACUCCACACAGGCGGGAAGGUCAUCCUCUGCUGUGGUCAGAAGGUCUGCCACUCAGGGUCUCAGGACCAAACGCCCCCGGGCUGGAGACACUCCCGAGGCACAGCCUCUGUGCGGUCAGCGUGUUAGCCAGGACAGCCACGGCUCCACACGGUCCGUGCCCCGGCUGCUGGGACAGCACUUCAGCCGCCCCCAUGGCACCCCCGCCCCCAUCUCUCCUCGAGUCACGUGGUCUGGGCAGAGCUGACCAGCUCCCAGAACUGCCACGUGAUCCAGCCCAUCAGAGCAACUGUCGCCUGGUCUCGGGGACUGGUCCAGGGGGCAGUGGCCCAAGUCAGGCCCCUGAGAUGAGGUUCUGGGACACGGCUGGGAGCUCUGGAGAAAGGAGCUCGUGCCACACAGGGGUGUGACCAGACCCUUCCAGAUGCCACCCUGCUGUCAUGAGGGCCGGCCCUCCUGAGAAGGAAGCAGAGCCUCGAGCCGGACACAUGCCCUCGGGGCUCAGGCAGGAGUGCAGCUGCCUGCCCCUCUCGUGGAUUCCUGGGAGGGUCAGAGGUCAUGGACACGGAAGCACUUCCCAACGGCAGGUCCAGGCUAGGCCAGGGACCACGGAAACCCCUUCCAGCUAGCAGGGAGCCAGCAAAUAAAGACCAAGAAAAAAAAAGAGAGACGCCCAGAAAAGUGGGAAGGUUUGGGCCUGAUGUAUCCAGAUCAGCUACACACGUGCAUUCGGACCCACCCACCAAUCCGAAGCCCAAAGCCCCACGUACGAGCACCCAUCUCGCAGCACAAAGGAUCAAGAUGAGGAAACAAGACAGAAAAGUCGAGGCAGGACAGGUAGGAAUCGGAGGUAGGAAUGGCGCAUGAGCCUCUCAGAAGUUCCCUGGAAUCUGCUUCCCUCCUGGUUGGUUAGUAUUUCUGCGGCUUUGUCUGCAGUGACGACCUGUACAGGGAGCAACUCCCCGCCCGCCCCCAGGAUCCAGCCCAGUGCCCCGCAUACAGCAGGAGCACAAUAAAUCCGAGCUGAGCAUCCCCAGUGCUUCCCAGAGAGGAGUCCCAGGCCUGUGCAGGCAUACGCGUCCACGUGGCCCAACAUCCCUCCCCAAGUCAAUUCCUCCUCGACCUCACGAGACCUCCGUACCCCACCUACUGCUUGGGCACGGCGUCCAAGCGUUACCACGUUCAUCCUUCUGGUGCUCUUUUGAGACGUGCACUCAGACGUUUUUGCUGUCAGAGGUGACGGGGCAGGUAUACAGCUUAGAAGGUACAAUUGAAGGCGUGCCCUCCCCCUGAUCUUAUCCACGUUUGCUGAACCUCCAGAAACUUAAAAAAAGUGCU